rnacentral:rRNA from 1 species
GACGAACGCUUGCGGCGCUGCUUAACACAUGCAAGGCGAACGGAAAGGACCUGCUUUUGUGGGGUGCUCGAGUGGCAAACGGGUGAGAAACACGAGAGUAACCUGCACAUGACUUUGGGAUAACUUCAUGAAACUGGUGCUAAUACCGGAUAGGAGCUCCUGCUGCAUGGUGGAGGGUUGGAAAGAUUGACGGACGGGUGGGGAUGGACUCCCGGCUUAUAAGCUUGUUGGGGGGGCAGUGGCUAACCAAGGCUUUGACGGGCAGCCGGCCUGAGAGGGUGACCGGCCUCAUUGGGACAGAUAUACCGCCCACUACUCCUACGGGAGGCAGCACUAGCGUAAUAUUGCAGAUGGGAGGAAGCCUGAUGCACCAACGCCUCGUGCGAUAUGACAGACUUCGGGUUGAAAACCGGUUUCUCCUGUGACAAAGCGUGAGUGACGGUAAUGGGUAAAGAAGCACCGGCUAACUACAUGCCAUCAACCUCGAUGAUACCUACGGUGCUACCGUUGUCCGGAUUUAUUGGGCGUAAAUGCCUCGUAGAUGCUUGAUCACGAACCAAAUGUAAUCUUGUCGCUUAACCCUGAGCGUGCUACCAAUACAGCUUGACUUGAUGAAUGUACGGGAGAAUGCAAUUCCUGGUGGAGCGGUGGAAUGCGCAGAUAUCAGGAGGAACACCAGUGGUGAAGGCGGUUCUCUGGCCCUUUCCUGACGCUGAGGAGAGAAAGCUUUGGGAGCGAACAGGCUUAGAUACCCUGGUAGUCCACGCCGUAAACGGUGGGUACUAGGUGUGGGGUGCAUUCCACGGGCUCCGCGCCGUAGCUAACGCUUUAAGCACCCCGCCAGGGGAGUACGGCCGCAAGGCUAAAACUCAAAGGAAUUGACGGGGCCCCGCACAAGCGGCGGAGCAUGCGGAUUAAUUCGAUGCAACGCGAAGAAACCUUACCUGGGUCUGACAUGGAUCGGGAGUGCUCAGAGAGGGGUGUGCCUCUUCUUGGGGUCGGUUCACAGGUGGUGCAUGCCCGUCGUCAGCUCGUGUCGUGAGAUGUUGGGUUAAGUCCCGCCACGAGCGCAGCCCUUGUUCUCUGUCGCCAGCACGUUAUGGUGGGGACUCAGCGGAUCACCCCCGGGGUCAACUCGGAGGAAGGUGGGGACGUCGUCAAGUCCUCAUGCCCCCUACGUCCAGGGCUUCGCGCAUGCUCCAAUGCCUGGUACAGAGAGUGGCGACCCUGUGAGGGCGAGCGACUCUCGGAAAUCCGCUCUCAGUUCGGAUCGGGGUCUCCAACUAGUCCUCAUGCAGUCGGAGUCGUUAGUAAUCGCAGAUCAGCAACGAUGCGGUGAAUCCGUUCCCGGGGCU